rnacentral:rRNA from 1 species
CUGCAAGUAGCCAUCCAGUUCUAAGAUAUAAGCCAUUUAACACACGCGAACUCGCGAAUGGCUCUUAUAUAAGUAAUCGUUUAUUUGAAAGUGCCUACUACUGGAUACCGUGUAAUCCUAGAAGCUAUACAUGCUAAACGCCCGACUUCGAAGGGUGUUAUUUAUUAGAUUAAAAACCAAUGCCCUCCUGGGCUCCCCUGGUGGAUUCAUGAUAACUUCGCGGAAUCGCAUGGCCUUGCGCCGGCGAUGGCUCAUUCAAAUUUCUUCCCUAUCAACUUUCGAUGUUUGGGUAGUGGCCCAAACAUGGUUGCAACGGGUAACGGAGGGUUAGGGCUCGACCCCGGAGAAGGAGCCUGAGAAACGGCUACUACAUCUAAGGAAGGCAGCAGGCGCGCAAAUUACCCAAUCCCGAUUCGGGGAGGUAGUGACAAUAAAUACUGAUACAGGGCUCUUUUGGGUCUUGUAAUUGGAAUGAGUACAAUUUAAAUCCCUUAACGAGGAACAAUUAGAGGGCAAGUCUGGUGCCAGCAGCCGCGGUAAUUCCAGCUCUAAUAGCGUAUAUUAAAGUUGUUGUGGUUAAAAAGCUCGUAGUUGAACCUUGGGCCUGGCUGGCAGGUCCGCCUCACCGCGUGUUACUUUGCCGGCCGGGCCUUUCCCUCUGUGGAACCCCAUGCCCUUCACUGGGUGUGGCGGGGAAACAGGACUUUUACUUUGAAAAAAUUAGAGUGCUCCAGGCAGGCCUAUGCUCGAAUACAUUAGCAUGGAAUAAUAAAAUAGGACGUGCGGUUCUAUUUUGUUGGUUUCUAGGACCGCCGUAAUGAUUAAUAGGGACAGUCGGGGGCAUCAGUAUUCAAUUGUCAGAGGUGAAAUUCUUGGAUUUAUUGAAGACUAACUACUGCGAAAGCAUUUGCCAAGGAUGUUUUCAUUAAUCAGGAACGAAAGUUAGGGGAUCGAAGACGAUCAGAUACCGUCGUAGUCUUAACCAUAAACUAUGCCGACUAGGGAUCGGACGAUGUUAUUUACUUGACUCGUUCGGCACCUUACGAGAAAUCAAAGUGCUUGGCUCCAGGGGAGUAUUCGCUUGU